UACGGGGGGGGCAAGCGUUGUUCGGAAUUACUGGGCGUAAAGGGCUCGUAGGUGGCCAACUAAGUCAGACGUGAAAUCCCUCGGCUUAACCGGGGAACUGCGUCUGAUACUGGACGGCUUGAGUUUGGGAGAGGGACGCGGAAUUCCAGGUGUAGCGGUGAAAUGCGUAGAUAUCUGGAGGAACACCGGUGGCGAAGGCAGCCCCCUGGGUCAAGAUUGACGCUCAUGCACGAAAGCGUGGGGAGCAAACAGG
rnacentral:rRNA from 1 species